rnacentral:rRNA from 1 species
GCGAACGUUAGCGGCAGGCUUAACACAUGCAAGUCGAGCGAGAAAGGGGCUUCGGCUCCGAGUAAAGCGGCGGACGGGUGCGUAACACGUGGAUAAUCUGCCUCGUGGCGGGGGACAACAGUCCGAAAGGACUGCUAAUACCGCAUGUCAGGUCGGAAACUCCGGUUUCUGACGAAAAAGAGGGCACCCGCAAGGGGCUCUCACCACGAGAUGAGUCCGCGUCCCAUCAGCUAGUUGGCGGUGUAAUAGACCACCAAGGCUUAGACGGGUAGCUGGUCUGAGAGGAUGACCAGCCACACUGGGACUGAGACACGGCCCAGACUCCUACGGGAGGCAGCAGUGGGGAAUAUUGGACAAUGGGCGAAAGCCUGAUCCAGCCAUGCCGCGUGAGUGAUGAAGGCCUCGGUCGUAAGGACUCUGUGGGGAGGGGACGGAAAAAGACGUAGACCGUAAUACGUACUCG